UGUCAGGCGCAUACUAAUGGCAGAGACCCAGGGUGAAGCUUUUUAAUGGCAAGGCAGAUAUGUUACUUUAACAAAAACCCCGUAUCAAGGAUCAACGGCCUCUAGCAUCAUGUAAAAGAAAAAAAAUCUACAUUGAAUAAAGGCUUAAAGAAAAAGAUUGCCAAAUCAGAAGAAAAAAAUAUCCUAGAACAAGUGUAUAACUUUGAGCAGAAGAGAUAGUUGACACUUUAAAUAGGAGAAAUCUAAAAGCCACAAUGGAGGAAAAAUUGAAGGUAUCUGUGCUCUGUGUAGACUGCACUUGAGGAAGAACAACAAGAUUCUUUCCCUCCAGAGUGUACACAGUUAGGAAGAAUGAACAAUUAAACAGACAAUUAUAAUUCAAAAUGCUCUUUACUUCAAGCCUUUCUAAGAAGCUAAACCUCUGUCACAGGGACCAGCUGACUUCACACAGGUUCCAUCUGGAUAUUUACAGAUUUUACUAAACUUGACUGCUGCCCUGGGAAGUGUGCUGAGCUCCAAGCAGAAAGUGCUGUACAUCUCAGGAUGCUUUGAACCACACAGCACUCUAUUUGAUCAAUUCUAUCUGUUAAAUUUUUUAUUGUGAUCUUUUUUAAAGGAAGCCUGCCUCUGGUCUCCAGGGCCAUUCUGUUUCUAUGGUACUUGGAAUUUAUUAUAUAUGGCAAUCUAAGUAGGGGAAUGGAA